GACGAACGCUGGCGGCGUGCUUAACACAUGCAAGUCGAACGGAAAGGCCCUGCUUGCAGGGUACUCGAGUGGCGAACGGGUGAGUAACACGUGGGUGAUCUGCCCUGCACUUCGGGAUAAGCCUGGGAAACUGGGUCUAAUACCGGAUAGGAGCCAUUUUUAGUGUGAUGGUUGGAAAGUUUUUUCGGUGUAGGAUGAGCUCGCGGCCUAUCAGCUUGUUGGUGGGGUAAUGGCCUACCAAGGCGGCGACGGGUAGCCGGCCUGAGAGGGUGGACGGCCACAUUGGGACUGAGAUACAGCCCAGACUCCUACGGGAGGCAGCAGGGGGGAAUAUUGCACAAUGGGCGCAAGCCUGAUGCAGCGACGCCGCGUGGGGGAUGACGGCCUUCGGGUUGGAAACUCCUUUCGCUAGGGACGAAGCUUUUUGUGACGGUACCUAGAUAAGAAGCACCGGCUAACUACGUG
rnacentral:rRNA from 1 species